UUAGAGGAAGUAAAAGUCGUAACAAGGUCUCCGUUGGUGAACCAGCGGAGGGAUCAUUACUGAGUUUACGCUCUACAACCCUUUGUGAACAUACCUAUAACUGUUGCUUCGGCGGGUAGGGUCUCCGCGACCCUCCCGGCCUCCCGCCCCCGGGCGGGUCGGCGCCCGCCGGAGGAUAACCAAACUCUGAUUUAACGACGUUUCUUCUGAGUGGUACAAGCAAAUAAUCAAAACUUUUAACAACGGAUCUCUUGGUUCUGGCAUCGAUGAAGAACGCAGCGAAAUGCGAUAAGUAAUGUGAAUUGCAGAAUUCAGUGAAUCAUCGAAUCUUUGAACGCACAUUGCGCCCGCCAGCAUUCUGGCGGGCAUGCCUGUUCGAGCGUCAUUUCAACCCUCAAGCUCUGCUUGGUGUUGGGGCCCUACAGCUGAUGUAGGCCCUCAAAGGUAGUGGCGGACCCUCCCGGAGCCUCCUUUGCGUAGUAACUUUACGUCUCGCACUGGGAUCCGGAGGGACUCUUGCCGUAAAACCCCCCAANUCCAAAGGUGACCUCGAUC
rnacentral:rRNA from 1 species